GACAGGUCGGACUCUCUCUGUUGGAAGCGUUGGUCGCUUGAGGGGAAGAUGCGGCUAGUACGAGAGGAACGCUGUGUCGCUGCCUCUAGUUUACCGGUUGUCCGGUAGGGCACUGCCGGGCAGCCACGCAGCAAGGGAUAACCGCUGAAAGCAUCUAAGUGGGAAACCCGCCCCGAGACUAAGCGACCAUUCCGCUCAAAGCGGACGAAGGCUCCUGUAGAACACAGGGUUGAUGGAACGGGGGUGUAAGCGCCAAGGCUUCGGCCGAGGCGUUCAGCCCGCCGUCCCCAAUCGCCUGAGGUGCUGACCCG
rnacentral:rRNA from 1 species